GACGAACGCUGGCGGCGUGCCUAAUACAUGCAAGUUGAGCGCUGAAGGUUGGUACUUGUACCAACUGGAUGAGCAGCGCACGGGUGAGUAACGCGUGGGGAAUCUGCCUUUGAGCGGGGGACAACAUUUGGAAACGAAUGCUAAUACCGCAUAAAAACUUUAAACACAAGUUUUAAGUUUGAAAGAUGCAAUUGCAUCACUCAAAGAUGAUCCCGCGUUGUAUUAGCUAGUUGGUGAGGUAAAGGCUCACCAAGGCGAUGAUACAUAGCCGACCUGAGAGGGUGAUCGGCCACAUUGGGACUGGGACACGGCCCAAACUCCUACGGGAGGCAGCAGUAGGGAAUCUUCGGCAAUGGACGAAAGGCUGACCGAGCAACGCCGCGUGAGUGAAGAAGGUUUUCGGAUCGUAAAACUCUGUUGGUAGAGAAGAACGUUGGUGAGAGUGGAAAGCUCAUCAAGUGACGGUAACUACCCAGAAAGGGACGGCUAACUACGUG
rnacentral:rRNA from 1 species